GAAAAUAAAUUUGUGUUAUAGUUGUUAUAGUGUUAGGGCGAAACCAUUGAGGGUCACUUUACUCUAGAAGUCUAGAAGAUGAUCUAGGCGGAUAGUAUGUGGUAUUAGUAUUGGCUUUUGGUAUAGCAGUACGAGCACUUUGCGAGACAGGGGAAACGAGCAAAUUUAUUGUAUCUGGUCUUCUCGACCACCUUCUCGGUGACAAUCACCACUAGUAACUUGUACACUAUAAAUCUUAAACGGGUGUGUAGAUAUUAAUAAAUUUCGGUUUUCGUUAUAAAUGUUUAACGAAAUUCAAACAGAAGUAUGCUAAAUUCCAUGAUUUUUUAGUCGAAAACAGCAGUGUAAAUAUAAGGGAAAGAGUUAAAUUACUCAUACGGAUCAUAAGAAAUCGAUUAUGUUUCAUUUUUAAAAAUUGAACUUUAAACGUUCAUUAAAAUAAG